rnacentral:rRNA from 1 species
CCUACGGGAGGCAGCAGUGGGGAAUAUUGCACAAUGGGCGAAACCCUGAUGCAGCGACGCCGCGUGAGUGAAGAAGUAUUUCGGUUUGUAAAGCUCUAUCAGCAGGGAAGAAAAUGACGGUUACUGACUAAGAAUCCCCGGCUAACUACGUGCCAGCAGCCACGGUAAUACGGAGGGGGCAAGCGUUAGUCGGAAUUACUGGGUGUAAAGUGAACGGAGGCGGUAGGGAAAGUCUGAAGUGAAAUGCCUGGGCUUAACCCCGGAACUGCUUUGGAAACUGUGCAGCUAGAGUGCAGGAGAGGUAAGUGGAAUGCCAGGGGUAGCGGUGAAAUGCGUAGAUAUCAGGAGGAAUACCAGUGGCGAAGGCGGCCUACUGGACUGUAACUGACGUUGAGGAUCGAAAGCGUGGGGAGCAAACAGGAUUAGAUACCCGUGUAGUC